GGAGUNGGGCCUGCUCGGUGAACAAUAUUGUUUUAACAGCUGCGGUAUUUUAACUGUACUAAGGUAGCAUAAUAAUUUGCCUUAUAAUUUGAGGCUAGAAUGAAUGGUUUGACGAAGGUUAAACUGUCUCUAUUUUAUUUACUAGAACUUAAUUUACAAAGUGAAAAAGCUUGUAUUUCUUAAAGGGACGAGAAGACCCUAAUGAGCUUUAAUUUUAUUAACUUUUUUGCUGCAUGUAAAGAAAUUUAUAUAAAUUUUAAUUGGGGUGAUUAAGGAAUAAAUAUAAGUUACUAGAUUAAUAACUUCCUUAAACUAAAUAUUGUUGAAUAAAUUAACCAAUGUUAUUGCUUACAUUAGAGUUACCAUAGGGAUAACAGCGUAAUUCGUUUUGAGAGUUCUUAUUGAAAAACGAGAUUGCGACCUCGAUGUUGGAUUAAAGUAACCUUAAGGUGCAGAAGCUUUAAAAGGUAAAUCUG
rnacentral:rRNA from 1 species